ACUGGGCAUAAUGGAGUAUGUCUGUAAUCCCUGUUGCUGAGAGAAGCUGAGACUGGUGGAUUGCUUGAGCUCAAGAAUUCUGAGAUGCAGUGGGCUAAGCCAUUUUCAGUAAGCUCUUAGGACCAAGAGGCCACCAAGUUGUCCAAGAAGGGUUGAACCAAUCCAGGAUAGAAACAGAACAUAUCAAAGCUUCCAUGAAGACAAAUAGUUGAAUUUGGCUUGUGAAUGUCUGCUGUACUUUCAGGUUGGUUGAGAUAGGAAUACCCAAUCUCU
rnacentral:SRP_RNA from 1 species